GCCCUUCGCGGCGAGGGACUCCUCGCGCAGGAACUCCGGGUCCCUGCCGGUCGCGGCGAGCCGCGCGUUCCACCGCGCGAGGGUCGC
rnacentral:tRNA from 1 species